CAGGAUAUUCAAGAGGCACAUGUUGGGCAAAUAGUUGCUGUAUUUGGUGUGGAUUGUGCAUCAGGAUAUACAUUUACUGAUGGGUCAGUUAAAUCCACAAUGACUUCUAUGAAUGUCCCUAAGCCAAUGAUGUCUUUAGCCGUUCAACCAAUUUCAAAAGAUUCAGGAGGACAAUUUUCAAAGGCUUUGAAUCAUUUUCAGAGAGAGGAUCCUACUUUGUGUAAGUAUAAGUUUUCAUGUAGAUUGUUAGAUUUGGUUCUCCAUUGGGAAAAACUAGACUUUGGUUAAGUUACUUAUAACCAUGACUUGGUGCAGAAACCUUAGCUAUUACUUAGUCCUAA